CGUACACAAAAAUGCACAUGCUGUGAGCUCGAUGAGUAGGGCGGGACACGUGGUAUCCUGUCUGAAUAUGGGGGGACCAUCCUCCAAGGCUAAAUACUCCUGACUGACCGAUAGUGAACCAGUACCGUGAGGGAAAGGCGAAAAGAACCCCGGCGAGGGGAGUGAAAAAGAACCUGAAACCGUGUACGUACAAGCAGUGGGAGCACGCUUAGGCGUGUGACUGCGUACCUUUUGUAUAAUGGGUCAGCGACUUAUAUUCUGUAGCAAGGUUAACCGAAUAGGGGAGCCGAAGGGAAACCGAGUCUUAACUGGGCGUUAAGUUGCAGGGUAUAGACCCGAAACCCGGUGAUCUAGCCAUGGGCAGGUUGAAGGUUGGGUAACACUAACUGGAGGACCGAACCGACUAAUGUUGAAAAAUUAGCGGAUGACUUGUGGCUGGGGGUGAAAGGCCAAUCAAACCGGGAGAUAGCUGGUUCUCCCCGAAAGCUAUUUAGGUAGCGCCUCGUGAACUCAUCUCCGGGGGUAGAGCACUGUUUCGGCAAGGGGGUCAUCCCGACUUACCAACCCGAUGCAAACUGCGAAUACCGGAGAAUGUUAUCACGGGAGACACACGGCGGGUGCUAACGUCCGUCGUGAAGAGGGAAACAACCCAGACCGCCAGCUAAGGUCCCAAAGUCAUGGUUAAGUGGGAAACGAUGUGGGAAGGCCCAGACAGCCAGGAUGUUGGCUUAGAAGCAGCCAUCAUUUAAAGAAAGCGUAAUAGCUCACUGGUCGAGUCGGCCUGCGCGGAAGAUGUAACGGGGCUAAACCAUGCACCGAAGCUGCGGCAGCGACGCUUAUGCGUUGUUGGGUAGGGGAGCGUUCUGUAAGCCUGUGAAGGUGUGCUGUGAGGCAUGCUGGAGGUAUCAGAAGUGCGAAUGCUGACAUAAGUAACGAUAAAGCGGGUGAAAAGCCCGCUCGCCGGAAGACCAAGGGUUCCUGUCCAACGUUAAUCGGGGCAGGGUGAGUCGACCCCUAAGGCGAGGCCGAAAGGCGUAGUCGAUGGGAAACAGGUUAAUAUUCCUGUACUUGGUGUUACUGCGAAGGGGGGACGGAGAAGGCUAUGUUGGCCGGGCGACGGUUGUCCCGGUUUAAGCGUGUAGGCUGGUUUUCCAGGCAAAUCCGGAAAAUCAAGGCUGAGGCGUGAUGACGAGGCACUACGGUGCUGAAGCAACAAAUGCCCUGCUUCCAGGAAAAGCCUCUAAGCAUCAGGUAACAUCAAAUCGUACCCCAAACCGACACAGGUGGUCAGGUAGAGAAUACCAAGGCGCUUGAGAGAACUCGGGUGAAGGAACUAGGCAAAAUGGUGCCGUAACUUCGGGAGAAGGCACGCUGAUAUGUAGGUGAAGCGACUUGCUCGUGGAGCUGAAAUCAGUCGAAGAUACCAGCUGGCUGCAACUGUUUAUUAAAAACACAGCACUGUGCAAACACGAAAGUGGACGUAUACGGUGUGACGCCUGCCCGGUGCCGGAAGGUUAAUUGAUGGGGUUAGCGCAAGCGAAGCUCUUGAUCGAAGCCCCGGUAAACGGCGGCCGUAACUAUAACGGUCCUAAGGUAGCGAAAUUCCUUGUCGGGUAAGUUCCGACCUGCACGAAUGGCGUAAUGAUGGCCAGGCUGUCUCCACCCGAGACUCAGUGAAAUUGAACUCGCUGUGAAGAUGCAGUGUACCCGCGGCAAGACGGAAAGACCCCGUGAACCUUUACUAUAGCUUGACACUGAACAUUGAGCCUUGAUGUGUAGGAUAGGUGGGAGGCUUUGAAGUGUGGACGCCAGUCUGCAUGGAGCCGACCUUGAAAUACCACCCUUUAAUGUUUGAUGUUCUAACGUUGACCCGUAAUCCGGGUUGCGGACAGUGUCUGGUGGGUAGUUUGACUGGGGCGGUCUCCUCCUAAAGAGUAACGGAGGAGCACGAAGGUUGGCUAAUCCUGGUCGGACAUCAGGAGGUUAGUGCAAUGGCAUAAGCCAGCUUGACUGCGAGCGUGACGGCGCGAGCAGGUGCGAAAGCAGGUCAUAGUGAUCCGGUGGUUCUGAAUGGAAGGGCCAUCGCUCAACGGAUAAAAGGUACUCCGGGGAUAACAGGCUGAUACCGCCCAAGAGUUCAUAUCGACGGCGGUGUUUGGCACCUCGAUGUCGGCUCAUCACAUCCUGGGGCUGAAGUAGGUCCCAAGGGUAUGGCUGUUCGCCAUUUAAAGUGGUACGCGAGCUGGGUUUAGAACGUCGUGAGACAGUUCGGUCCCUAUCUGCCGUGGGCGCUGGAGAACUGAGGGGGGCUGCUCCUAGUACGAGAGGACCGGAGUGGACGCAUCACUGGUGUUCGGGUUGUCAUGCCAAUGGCACUGCCCGGUAGCUAAAUGCGGAAGAGAUAAGUGCUGAAAGCAUCUAAGCACGAAACUUGCCCCGAGAUGAGUUCUCCCUGACUCCUUGAGAGUCCUGAAGGAACGUUGAAGACGACGACGUUGAUAGGCCGGGUGUGUAAGCGCAGCGAUGCGUUGAGCUAACCGGUACUAAUGAACCGUGAGGCUUAACCUUACAAC
rnacentral:rRNA from 1 species